GACAGAGGGCAUCCCACACCCUCCUCAGCCAUCUCUGUUCUCGCCACUGCUUCACUGCACUCUCUUUGGCUUCAAGGCAUUGCCUCCCACUAAAUGCAGUCUCUGUGUCACAGGAAAAACAUGGAUCUGUCCACGGCCAUACAAGAGUCCAGCUCAAGGCCACUCCGUCAUCUCCUCCCACCUAGGAUUCUUCUCACCAUUUCUGACAUCUCUCACUCGUACACACUUUCAUCACACUUGCCCACUGCUUCAUCUCUCUCUCCUCAUUCAGAUUCAGGAGGAUCAGUGUUUAAAACACAAGGUCAGAGUAAUGCCUUAUGGAAUCAGAAUGGGAGCUGGAAUGUCUAUAGAGGUCCCCAGGAAUCAGAGGAACCCCUAAGACUGCCAGAGCAUCUUCAGAUAGAACACUUAACAACAUUUUAAAGACUAAACAGAAAAAGAAAAGGGAAGUGUCAUUUGAAAAGAAAGUGUGUCUUGGGAUUCAGGAAUGGCCAAAAAGUGAGUAGUCCUAUUCAUUUCCAAGUGGGACCUCAGUGUGUAAGCCCUUGGAGAUCCAUGGUAAUUAAAAAUGCUAAGAAAUACUG